rnacentral:rRNA from 1 species
UACGAAGGGUGCAAGCGUUACUCGGAAUUACUGGGCGUAAAGCGUGCUUAGGUGGUGAGUUAAGUCAGAUGUGAAAUCCCGGGGCUCAACCCCGGAACUGCAUCCAAUACUGCCGUGCUAGAGGAUUGGAGAGGUAGCUGGAAUUCUUGGUGUAGCAGUGAAAUGCGUAGAGAUCAAGAGGAACACUCGUGGCGAAAGCGAGCUACUGGACAAUAUCUGACGCUGAGGCUCGAAGGCCAGGGUAGCGAAAGGG